ACGUACACUCCUGCGGGAGGCAGCAGUGGGGAAUAUUGGACAAUGGGCGCAAGCCUGAUCCAGCCAUGCCGCGUGAGUGAUGAAGGCCCUAGGGUUGUAAAGCUCUUUCACCGGUGAAGGUAAUGACGGUAACCGGAGAAGAAGCCCCGGCUAACUUCGUGCCAGCAGCCGCGGUAAUACGAAGGGGGCUAGCGUUGUUCGGAUUUACUGGGCGUAAAGCGCACGUAGGCGGACUAUUAAGUCAGGGGUGAAAUCCCGGGGCUCAACCCCGGAACUGCCUUUGAUACUGGUAGUCUUGAGUUCGAGAGAGGUGAGUGGAAUUCCGAGUGUAGAGGUGAAAUUCGUAGAUAUUCGGAGGAACACCAGUGGCGAAGGCGGCUCACUGGCUCGAUACUGACGCUGAGGUGCGAAAGCGUGGGGAGCAAACAGGAUUAGAAACCCGGGUAGUCCCAUGA
rnacentral:rRNA from 1 species